AGUUGAGAUGGCUAAAGAGAACUGUGUAAUUGAUGUGAUUGUCUAUCAUAAUAUCUGAAUGAAUGGUAACCGCAAAUAAUGAUUCUAUAGCUCCCUUAAACUGUUACGAAUAUGAAUGAAAACUACUUAAAACCAAGAUUCUAUUAAAGAUUCUAAAUUUUCUUAGGGAGUCAAGAGGCUCAAGGAAGUUAAUUACAAAAUGCAAGAAGCUGAAAUUAUGUGUCCAGGAACAAUCCUACAUUAAAUUGCAAAAACAUGACUUUCAACAUAACGAGGGCCAGAAUCAUGUGAUUUAAUGGAAGCUCAAAUAAGAAAUAAGGAUGUAAGAAAGGGAAAAUAUAAGAAUUAAAACUAUCUUUAAAAGGUGAUGCUGAGGAUGAAGGAUGCACUUGGAAGGAGAGCAAGAUGAUACCAUUGGCUGACGCGGGAAAAUCGGAGAAGAUGCUUGGGAGCUGUUUUUCAUUGGACGACAUCCAGGAGGUCGGAGAGAAGGGAUUGGAAGAGGUAAACGAUUUAAAUCUGUGAGAUCGUGAUCUGUGUAAGAUUUAAAUCAAGAAAAUACAUUUCAUUGACAGAUGUUAGCUAAAAUUUUGGGGAAUGAAAUAAGAAUGAAGAAUUUACUCAUUCGUGAUUGCAUUAAGGUUGAUGAAUCAUCAGCCUGGAUGAUGAAUUAUCUGGCUGGUGAAUUAAAUUGAGGCUGAUGAAUCAGCUCGAAGCUUGUGAUAGCCAAGCAACUUAGAUUCCUGUAAUUCAAGAACUUAAGAACAAAAGUGAUGUUUUAAAAAAAUCAGUUAUGAAAUAAAGAGAAGAUGACGAUUUUUUAAUAACUACCGUUUAAAAAAAAUCCGAAGCUUAAAAAAAUCACAUGUUGAGUGAUAUUGUGAAAAUAUCUGUCAUGGAACAAAAAAAUCAAGAAGCUUACAACAGCCUACCAAUUUAAAUUUCCUAAACUCAUGGGCUUAAGAACAUGUUACGUGGUAUUUUAAAAAGUCAGUUAUAGAACUAAAAUAACAAGAAGUUUUCGAUUUCGCUACAGCAUAAGUUUCUAAAAUUUCAGAGCUUAAGGGGAGAACGUGUUAAAUAUUCUGAGAAAUGGAUUUAGGAAACGAAAACAUUCAAAUACUUGCAAUAUCCAAACAACUAAGGUUUCAAAAAUUUAGGAGCUUAAGG